GCAAACUUGGUCAUUUAGAGGAAGUAAAAGUCGUAACAAGGUUUCCGUAGGUGAACCUGCGGAAGGAUCAUUAACGAAUCUAAAGUCGAUACGUUGUGCUGGUGGCAACACAUGUGCACGCGUGUCGCAAACAUCCACACACCUGUGAACCCUAGACCUUGUGGUCGAUCGAACGCCCGGACUUUUGUCCAUCGCGUGUGGGGACUCUUGUCCUCCGUCGCCCGAGGUACUUUUUUACAUACGCCGAAUGUGAUAGAAUGUAUCUGUGCAUAACGCGCAACUAAUACAACUUUCAACAACGGAUCUCUUGGCUCUCGCAUCGAUGAAGAACGCAGC
rnacentral:misc_RNA from 1 species